rnacentral:pre_miRNA from 1 species
GAAGUAGACACGGCGUGAUAUUGGCACGGCUCAUCUUCUACUGGAUCUUCCAUAACUAGCCAGGAUCCAUUUCUUGAUAAAAUGAAGAAGAAGACGACGAGCCGAACCAAUAUCACUCUUGUAUGCUU